UACUUCCUCCUUCCCUUCUUAACCUGAAACCUACACUUGUCAUUCCCCAUUCUUCAUACAACAUUAUGAAAAUAAAUUCUCUGCAACUUUCAUAACUUUAUAAUUUGCCAACACCAUGAUUUUCUUUUCAUUUCUUGACCCCAUUUAUGAUCAUCAUUGGCUUCUUCUCAUGACAACAUACAUUCUGCAAAUAUACACUUCCAACCUUUUUCUUUUUUUCUUUUUCCUUUUUAUCAAUACUAUAUAUAGAGAGAGCCAAUAGAAUUUAAACUCCAAAUACGUCACUUUAUAGUUCAAUAUUAAGACUACGUACAAGGUUGUCGGUGGAGGACAUGAGCUCAGAUUCGCAGCUAGGGCCAUAGCCAAACGUUGAAGCACCGAGUGAAACCAAAGGAUCCGAAGUGGGCACAAUCAGAUUGUCUUGUUGCUGCAUUUGUUGAUGUUGCUGGCUAGUAAAAGCUUCCUCAUUGAUGAGUGAAUUGAGAAACGAAGAGAAGACAUCAUCAGUGCAGUAAUUGAUAUCUCCAUGUUCGUUGAUAGGCCCAUGAAUGAUGCUUCUGAAAUCCAUCCCGCAAUUACCAUAACCAGAAUUCAGCAAACUUGAAUAUCCAUGGUUGGGAUUACUAUUUCCAGUAAUUUGAUACUGAUAAUCUAUGUAAGUGCUUUCGAUGUAUACAUUUUCUUUGUCCCCACUGGGGGUUUCUUCCACACCAGCACCAGCCCCAGCAGCUGGAUUCUUAUUAUUACUCUUAGGGCUUGAUGUUUUGCUCUUUGUUGCUUUAGAUGAAGAAGCUUUGUUUUGAUCAAGACAUUCAGGUUUGAGGGGCUUGUGGGUUCUUGGAUCCAUUCCUUGGCUUAUCAGCUUUUUGCUCAGGUGAGUGUUCCAGUAAUUCUUGAUCUCGUUAUCUGUACGCCCUGGAAUUCUCCCAGCUAUCAAUGACCACCUAUAUAAGCCAAACAUAAUGUACCACUGCAAAUUUAGAUAGUUAAACAUUUCCAACGAAAAUGAUGCAUUUAAACCCAGAUGAAUUAUAAGUAGCCAUUAUCAUCUACCUCUAUUGGCAGGCUCUUUGAGUCUCAACAGUUCAGUAAGUGCUUACAGACACACAAGCGACUUAUUUGUACGCAGUCGAGUACAAGAUAUUGAUGUUACCAUGUGAAUAUCAUCAGUUCAUUAAGUGUUUGCAAACACAUAAGACGCAUAUUUAUAGUGGAGUGCAAGACAUUGAUGAGUAUGAUUGUUGGUUAACUUAUUCUUGUCAGGUUCUUGAGAUGAAUUAUAAUAGGAAAAACCCAGAUAAAUUUACUAGAAAAGAUAGGGUUUUGAGGUAAAAUGGAAAGAACCCAGAUCGUUUCCUGAUCUAGGUUUCUCUAAUGGGAUGAUAAACAGAGAAAGGACGAGUGAACCAAGCCAUUUUCAUGAAGAUGAAACCCUAGAGCUGUCUAUGACUGAACUCAUUGAAGUAACACAAUCAAGAAAUCCACUAAUAUUUUCUUGUUGAAUUGUUAUAUAUGUAUGUAUACAAAACUCACCUGUUUCCGAGAAGUCGAUGCAAGCGAAGAAUGAGAUCUUCUUCAUCAGGGGCGAUCUGACCACGUUUAACAGAAGGACGGAGGUAGUUCAUCCAUCGGAGGCGGCAGCUUUUGCCACAACGGAGAAGUCCAGCUCUUUUUGGCAAGGUACGCCAGCGACCUUCCCCUUUUUUCUUGAUGUAGUUGGCUAGAAGCUCAUCUUCUUGGGGUGUCCAUGGCCCUCUCUUUAACCCUACCUUGCUGCAACAUGGUGUCUUGGCCAUUGUCACUGCUUGUGCUCCUCCUGAAGAAGCAGACAUUGAUGGGUUUCUCAUCGUCUUCCUCUUCCUUCUUUCUCUAGGCUAUGAAUCCAAGAAAAGUAUGGAUUUUCAUAUGUUUUUGUUAUUGAUUGGGAUUGGGUUGGGUCUUCUUUAAGGUUUUUGGACAAAAGCUUUGGCAGUGCUGAUCGAUAAAGAGAGUGAUUUUUGUCCACUCACUGAUUAAGAGAAUGAAGAACACGCUCCUGAAAAGUAUGGUGGCAGUUUUUGAUGGGAUGGUGACUUCAUCCAGAUAACCUACGUGUCAUUUUAGUGUAUCCCAGAUUAAUGGAAGACCCAUAUGUUAUUUUUUA